rnacentral:lncRNA from 1 species
AGGAAUUUUAAUAAACAACUAAACACCGAAUAGUAAAUGCUCUCAAGUAAGCAAAAAAAAAAAAAAAAAGUAAGCACACCAUCAUGCUUACGCCUUACUCUACUACCAUCAUGCCUCGUAUUCGUUGUUAACCAAUAUUUGUAUCGAUAUGGCCACGGUACUCUGUAGAGAUUGAUACAUAUCGAAGGUGUAAUUUUUUUUCCAGAAUGAUUGAUAUGACUCAAAAUACAUCGAAUGUACUCAACUUUAAACUGCACAAACCUAGGGUUUGGUUUACACGAGGCACUAG